rnacentral:rRNA from 1 species
GCCGGGCUUCGGCCUGGUGGCGAGUGGCGAACGGGUGCAGUUUAUAUCGGAACGUACCCAAGAGUGGGGGAUAACGUAGCGAAUAGUUACGCUAAUACCGCAUACGAUCUCAGGAUGAAAGCAGGGGACCGCAAGGCCUUGUGCUCCUGGAGCGGCCGAUAUCUGAUUAGCUAGUUGGUGAGGUAAAGGCUCACCAAGGCGACGAUCAGUAGCUGGUCUGAGAGGACGACCAGCCACACUGGAACUGAGACACGGUCCAGACUCCUACGGGAGGCAGCAGUGGGGAAUUUUGGACAAUGGGCGCAAGCCUGAUCCAGCAAUGCCGCGUGAGUGAAGAAGGCCUUCGGGUUGUAAAGCUCUUUUGUCAGGGAAGAAACGGUAGGGGCUAAUAUCCUUUGCUAAUGACGGUACCUGAAGAAUAAGCACCGGCUAACUACGUGCCAGCAGCCGCGGUAAUACGUAGGGUGCAAGCGUUAAUCGGAAUUACUGGGCGUAAAGCGUGCGCAGGCGGUUUUGUAAGUCUGUCGUGAAAGCCCCGGGCUCAACCUGGGAAUUGCGAUGGAGACUGCAAGGCUUGAAUCUGGCAGAGGGGGGUAGAAUUCCACGUGUAGCAGUGAAAUGCGUAGAGAUGUGGAGGAACACCGAUGGCGAAGGCAGCCCCCUGGGUCAAGAUUGACGCUCAUGCACGAAAGCGUGGGGAGCAAACAGGAUUAGAUACCCUGGUAGUCCACGCCCUAAACGAUGUCUACUAGUUGUCGGGUUUUAAUUAACUUGGUAACGCAGCUAACGCGUGAAGUAGACCGCCUGGGGAGUACGGUCGCAAGAUUAAAACUCAAAGGAAUUGACGGGGACCCGCACAAGCGGUGGAUGAUGUGGAUUAAUUCGAUGCAACGCGAAAAACCUUACCUACCCUUGACAUGUCAGGAAUCCUCGAGAGAUUGGGGAGUGCCCGAAAGGGAACCUGAACACAGGUGCUGCAUGGCUGUCGUCAGCUCGUGUCGUGAGAUGUUGGGUUAAUUCCCGCAACGAGCGCAACCCUUGUCAUUAGUUGCUACGCAAGAGCACUCUAAUGAGACUGCCGGUGACAAACCGGAGGAAGGUGGGGAUGACGUCAAGUCCUCAUGGCCCUUAUGGGUAGGGCUUCUUACGUCAUACAAUGGUACAUACAGAGGGCCGCCAACCCGCGAGGGGGAGCUAAUCCCAGA